UACGGAGGGGGCUAGCGUUGUUCGGAAUUACUGGGCGCAAAGCGCACGUAGGCGGCUUUGUAAGUUAGAGGUGAAAGCCCGGGGCUCAACUCCGGAAUUGCCUUUAAGACUGCAUCGCUAGAAUUGUGGAGAGGUAAGUGGAAUUCCGAGUGUAGAGGUGAAAUUCGUAGAUAUUCGGAAGAACACCAGUGGCGAAGGCGACUUACUGGACACAUAUUGACGCUGAGGUGCGAAAGCGUGGGGAGCAAACAGG
rnacentral:rRNA from 1 species